UCUAUGGUUCGGAGGUUUUUCUCAUUCCGGGUGCCUCCCGCAGGGUGUGGCUGGACGCUUCUGAGACAGGUUUACUCUUUAACAGGUUGUAGCAACAAACUGUGUAGCAGAAGCACUUUCCCACAUCGACAUUAUCUGACACAUAUCUCACGAAAUCCUGCAAAGCAGUAUGCCUUCUAAAAGCGGCAGGCCCUGUGCAGGGGGCCGGCACAGAGGUGACUAAGGACCAAGGCUCCACUCAUAAGUUACAGUCCAGCCAGAGGAAGCCAUAUGACCACAUUAACAAGUUAUAAAACCGAUCAGAGCUCUGAAGAAAGGAAGAUGGUUCCACCGACUCCUAAAACGGAAGAGCCUUGGGUUCCCUGAGGAAAGUCAGAUCCGAAGGCUGGGGAGGAGUGAACCAUAUGGAGAGACUGCCACUCAGAGAAGUUAAGUACUUUGUCCAAGGGCACACAGCAGUGUGGUGGAACUAGAACUGAAAUCCACAUCUAUCUGACCCCAAAGAACCAGGGCUCCUUGGAGAAAUGACUGAUUCUAGGACUGGGGCAGAACAUGUACAAGAUGAGCCUGGAGCAUCUUGUAGUGCCAGAAAGUAAAGGAGUGCUCACAACACAAAAAGCAGAAAAACCCUGCUGUGACGGAGCUCCGUCAAAGAGCCAUGGGAACCAACUGAAAGAACUCCCAAUGGAUAAGUCUGGAAAUU